AAGAAAGUUAACACACAAACGUCAGAUUGGAUUACUUGGAGCAUUUGACAACCACUUGGACGGGCAGUUGUGCUGCUCUGCACAGUCACCCUCGUGUUGUGCCUCCAGCACAAGACACAUAUCCCUCCGCACCAGUCUAAUGUGACAAUCGCUACCCAUGUCUUGCAAGAGAGCAAUUAGCAGUAUUUAAUUCCCUGGACAGAAGAAUCAAGAUCAGCAGUUUUCUCAGAUCCUGCAGAGGCAGCUGGGUCAGCAGUUACAGUGCAGUACAGCAAGAAUGCUGUGAGAGAGGGGCCAGCCAAUUACCUAUCACUUCCAUAUCUGUGGCAAGCAGUACAGCCCAGACUUGGAAAAAUCAUCAAAGCUGUACAUAAACAGGGAAAAAUACAUAUAGCUGGGAUUUCCCCUCCUGUGCACCAGUGAUGUUAUUCCCGAUGAUUGUUG
rnacentral:lncRNA from 1 species